rnacentral:lncRNA from 1 species
AAAAAAGAUAUUUAUUCAAAAUCAAAACUGUUAGCUUCUUUGAUUCUUCCAAUAAGUUUUUAGAUCAAAUAUUUCAUUUAAAAAAAAAUUCUUUCUUUUAUAAUCAAUGAAAUCCCUGAAAGCUCUUUUGAUAGUUGAAUAUUCCAUGAAUUGUUAAUUUCUGAGGAAAACAUUUCACUGGAUCAAUCUGUCAUGUCUAUUUCUAAGAAUAAUUCUGUUGAAUCGUUUAAUGUUGUACGGGCAGUGAAGAUUCACACAGAUACAUUAAAAAAUACCAAUAUGAAUUGUCAAAGUGAUAGACCUGUAACAAUUUGCUCUAAAUUCCACAAAAGUGAAAAUCUGUCAGAGAAAGAUCAAGUGAAUAUGGUGAAUGGGAAAAAUUUCAUAUUCUUGUUAUGAAAAAUUUUGUAUGUUCU